GAGGAACGCUAGCUACAGGCUUAACACAUGCAAGUCGAGGGGUAACAAGAGGAAAGCUUGCUUUCCUUGUUGACGACCGGCGCACGGGUGAGUAACGCGUAUCCAACCUGCCUAUAACUAGGGAAUAACCUUGCGAAAGUAAGACUAAUACCCUAUGAUUUCCUUUGAUGACAUCAGAUUAGGAAUAAAGAUUUAUCGGUUAUAGAUGGGGAUGCGUCUGAUUAGCUUGUUGGCGGGGUAACGGCCCACCAAGGCAACGAUCAGUAGGGGUUCUGAGAGGAAGGUCCCCCACAUUGGAACUGAGACACGGUCCAAACUCCUACGGGAGGCAGCAGUGAGGAAUAUUGGUCAAUGGGCGGAAGCCUGAACCAGCCAAGUAGCGUGCAGGAUGAUGGCCCUAUGGGUUGUAAACUGCUUUUAUACAGGAAUAAAGUUAGCCACGUGUGGUUAUUUGUAGGUACUGUAUGAAUAAGGACCGGCUAAUUCCGUGCCAGCAGCCGCCGUAA
rnacentral:rRNA from 1 species